AAAGCGUGCGCAGGCGGCUUUGCAAGACAGAUGUGAAAUCCCCGGGCUCAACCUGGGAACUGCAUUUGUGACUGCAAGGCUAGAGUACGGCAGAGGGGGAUGGAAUUCCGCGUGUAGCAGUGAAAUGCGUAGAUAUGCGGAGGAACACCAAUGGCGAAGGCAAUCCCCUGGGCCUGUACUGACGCUCAUGCACGAAAGCGUGAGGAGCAAACAGGAUUAGAUACCCCUGU
rnacentral:rRNA from 1 species